UACGGGGGGGGGCAAGCGUUGUUCGGAAUUACUGGGCGUAAAGGGCGCGUAGGCGGCCUGCUAAGUCGAACGUGAAAUCCCUGGGCUCAACCCAGGAACUGCGUCCGAUACUGGUUGGCUUGAAUCCGGGAGAGGGAUGUGGAAUUCCAGGUGUAGCGGUGAAAUGCGUAGAUAUCUGGAGGAACACCGAUGGCGAAGGCAGCCCCCUGGGCUAGCACUGACGCUCAGGCACGAAAGCGUGGGGAGCAAACAGG
rnacentral:rRNA from 1 species